CUUGUUUCCUUUUCUGUUCCCUUCCCAAUUCAUAGAAUAAUUACUGCCCUUGCCUACAACCUGAAAUAUCAAUACACAUUGCCUCCAACAGCUAAUGAAAUGCUUCUUCCAGACUGGUAAGCGUGGGUUUGGCUGAGGAGGUGUGCGUGCGUGUGUGUGUGUGUGUGUGUGUGUGUGAGAGAGAGAGAGAGAGAGAGAGAGAGAGAGAGAGAGAGAUCUUGAUGCUUGCUUGCAAAACGUGCUUUCAAGAGAAGCAGUGAUUCACUUGGGAGCGAAGGGUUCGAUUCCCAAGGACCUCAAACAGAGGUGUAGAAGAAGGUCAGAGAGACGCAUGGGAGAAGCUGAACUCACACUUACCUUUGAGCAGCAAACGAGCUCGCAUCAGCUGAAGGCUAUCGCCUGGGACUCCUCGGAAGCAGGAGCAGCCGCCACCACGCGAAGGCACUGGGGCACAGCCAGAGCAGAGCGCCGAGGUCCCCUCCCAGGGCUUGUUAACACUGUAACCCGGCACUCGGAAGGAAGCAGCUCCCACUGCCCAGACCUACCUCACGGCACAGCAGAUGACUCCCUGCCUUCUACACACAGUUGGAGUUCCGCUGGAAAACUGGAUUUAGAGGGGCUCUCUCGCUGCCGUAAGUCAGAGCAUCUAGAGUGGGCUAGCCGAGACCAGAGUGGGUGCAAGCAGGGCGAGUGCAGAGGAAGAUGCUGGGAAAUCACCAGAAUUGGAUAG
rnacentral:lncRNA from 1 species